CCUUGACAUACUAAGAACUUUCCAGAGAUGGAUUGGUGCCUUCGGGAACUUAGAUACAGGUGCUGCAUGGCUGUCGUCAGCUCGUGUCGUGAGAUGUUGGGUUAAGUCCCGNAACGAGCGCAACCCUUUUCCUUAUUUGCCAGCGGGUCAUGCCGGGAACUUUAAGGAUACUGCCAGUGACAAACUGGAGGAAGGCGGGGACGACGUCAAGUCAUCAUGGCCCUUACGGCCAGGGCUACACACGUGCUACAAUGGUCGGUACAAAGGGUUGCUACCUCGCGAGAGGAUGCUAAUCUCAAAAAGCCGAUCGUAGUCCGGAUCGCAGUCUGCAACUCGACUGCGUGAAGUCGGAAUCGCUAGUAGUCGCGGAUCAGAAUGCCGCGGUGAAUACGUUCCCGGGCCUUGUACACACCGCCCGUCACACCAUGGGAGUUUGUUGCACCAGAAGUAGGUAGUCUAACCGCAAGGAGGACGCUUACCACGGUGUGGCCGAUGACUGGGGUGAAGUCGUAACAAGGUAAGCGUAGAUGA
rnacentral:rRNA from 1 species